rnacentral:rRNA from 1 species
UAACGGCCUACCAAGGCGAUGACGGGUAGCCGGCCUGAGAGGGCGACCGGCCACACUGGGACUGAGACACGGCCCAGACUCCUGCGGGAGGCAGCAGUGGGGAAUAUUGCGCAAUGGGCGGAAGCCUGACGCAGCGACGCCGCGUGGGGGAUGAAGGCCUUCGGGUUGUAAACCUCUUUUACCACUCACGAAGGCCCCUGGUUUUCUGGGGGUUGACGGUAGGUGGUGAAUAAGGACCGGCUAACUACGUGCCAGCAGCCGCGGUAAUACGUAGGGUCCGAGCGUUGUCCGGAAUUAUUGGGCGUAAAGAGCUCGUAGGCGGCCUGUCGCGUCUGCUGUGAAAGUCCGGGGCUUAACUCCGGGUGUGCAGUGGAUACGGGCAGGCUUGAGGUAGGCAGGGGAGACUGGAAUUCCUGGUGUAGCGGUGAAAUGCGCAGAUAUCAGGAGGAACACCGGUGGCGAAGGCGGGUCUUUGGGCCUUACCUGACGCUGAGGAGCGAAAGCGUGGGGAGCGAACAGGAUUAGAUACCCUGGUAGUCCACGCCGUAAACGUUGGGCGCUAGGUGUGGGGACUUUCCACGGUUUCCGUGCCGUA